rnacentral:rRNA from 1 species
GACGAACGCUGGCGGCGUGCUUAACACAUGCAAGUCGAACGGAAAGGCCCUGCUUUUGUGGGGUGCUCGAGUGGCGAACGGGUGAGUAACACGUGAGUAACCUGCCCUUGACUUUGGGAUAACUUCAGGAAACUGGGGCUAAUACCGGAUAGGAGCUCCUGCUGCAUGGUGGGGGUUGGAAGGUUUCGGCGGUUGGGGAUGGACUCGCGGCUUAAGAGCUUGUUGGUGGGGUAGUGGCUUACCAAGGCUUUGACGGGUGGCAGGCCUGAUAGGGUGACCGGCCCCGUUGGGAAUGAGAUACGGCCCAGACUCAUACGGGAGGCAGCAGUGGGGAAUAUUGCACAAUGGGCGGAAGCCUGAUGCAGCAACGCCGCGUGCGGGAUGACGGACUUCGGGUUGUAAACCGCUUUCGCAUGUGACGAAGCGUGAGUGACGGUAAUGGGUAAAGAAGCACCGGCUAACUACGUU